CCUACGGGAGGCAGCAGUGGGGAAUAUUGGACAAUGGGGGGAACCCUGCUCCAGCGACGCCGCGUGAGUGAAGAAGUAUUUCGGUAUGUAAAGCUCUAUCAGCAGGGAAGAAAGAAAUGACGGUACCUGACUAAGAAGCCCCGGCUCACUACGUGCCAGCAGCCGCGGUAAUACGUCGGGGGCAAGCGUUAUCCGGAUUUACUGGGUGUAAAGGGAGCGUAGACGGCGAUGCAAGUCUGAAGUGAAAGGCGGGGGCCCAACCCCCGGACUGCUUGGGAAACUGUAUGGCUGGAGUGCAGGUGAGGUAAGCGGAAGUCCUAGUGUAGCGGUGAAAUGCGUAGAUAUUAGGAGGAACACCAGUGGCGAAGGCGGCUUACUGAACUGUAACUGACGUUGAGGCUCGAAAGCGUGGGGAGCAAACAGGAUUAGAUACCCGAGUAGUC
rnacentral:rRNA from 1 species